rnacentral:rRNA from 1 species
UAGGGAAUCUUCCACAAUGGGCGCAAGCCUGAUGGAGCAACACCGCGUGAGUGAAGAAGGGUUUCGGCUCGUAAAGCUCUGUUGUUAAAGAAGAACACGUAUGAGAGUAACUGUUCUUGUAUUGACGGUAUCUAACCAGAAAGCCACGGCUAACUACGUGCCUG